UAAAUGAAAUUUAUGCUUAUGAUUAUUAUAUUUCUAAUAAUUACUAAGUAUUUUUAAAAUUGAAGACAUUAUAUGGUUGGUAAAUUAAUGUGUUUAGUUGGUAGGUAAUUAAUUAAUGAGUAUAGUUGGCAAGUAGAUUGGUGAAUUAAAGUAUGUUUGGUAGGUAACAGAUAGGAAGUAUUGGAUGAAUUAAAUAUUUUUCUUGAAAACCUAAAUAAAUAAGUUAUGUUUGUCUAUAAAUAAAGAAGAAGAUUCGAAAAGUUGUGAAAACAAAUGAAAAUAUUACAUAUGAGGAAAAUAUUUCUAGUAUUGGAGUGUAAGAGAAGUUGUUAUAUACGGAGGUGCAAUCCUAUCAAUAAUGUUCUGAAGACCGACUCAUACAAAUUUGUCAUUUACAGGAAUAAAUAUGUCAUCAAAAAAGAGUUCAAAGACACAAAAUUGUGGUCUGUGAAGGGUCUAGCCGGACCAGCCUAGGCGGAUCUAAACCAAACCGGUUUAACGGGGAGGCUCAGAACAAAAUAGUUUUCCGCCCGUUUAAUAUUUGAUUUGAUAUUUUGUAAGAGAAAAAAAAAAAAUAGUUGGUGUGAUUGUUUUGAAAAGUUGAAUAGUACCAAAGUCUCCAAAAUUGUAGUGUAAACAAUUUUGUUUACAAUAUGCUUGGAGGUUAUAUGUGAUGUAAUUAUCAGGGUAUUUUGGGUAGAGGUUCUAAAGCU